ACUCAAAGGAAUUGACGGGGACCCGCACAAGCAGUGGAGUAUGUGGUUUAAUUCGAAGCAACGCGAAGAACCUUACCAGGUCUUGACAUCCCCCUGAAUACGUUAGAGAUAGCGUAGGCCUUCGGGACAGGGGAGACAGGUGGUGCAUGGUUGUCGUCAGCUCGUGUCGUGAGAUGUUGGGUUAAGUCCCGCAACGAGCGCAACCCUUGACUUUA
rnacentral:rRNA from 1 species